GGAAUAUUGGUCAAUGGAGGCAACUCUGAACCAGCCAUGCCGCGUGCAGGAUGACGGUCCUAUGGAUUGUAAACUGCUUUUGUACAGGAAGAAACCGCUCUACGUGUAGAGCCUUGACGGUACUGUAAGAAUAAGGAUCGGCUAACUCCGUGCCAGCAGCCGCGGUAAUACGGAGGAUCCAAGCGUUAUCCGGAAUCAUUGGGUUUAAAGGGUCCGUAGGCGGCUUAGCAAGUCAGUGGUGAAAUCUCCCCGCUCAACGGGGAAACGGCCAUUGAUACUACUAGGCUUGAAUUAUUAGGAAGUAACUAGAAUAUGUAGUGUAGCGGUGAAAUGCUUAGAUAUUACAUGGAAUACCAAUUGCGAAGGCAGGUUACUACUAAUUGAUUGACGCUGAUGGACGAAAGCGUGGGGAGCGAACAGGAUUAGAUACCCCAG
rnacentral:rRNA from 1 species